AUGUAUCCACAAGGUUUAGUAGUCAUGAUGGGAGCGGCAAAGAACAUCACGGAGACGACCGUCUCAGACAUGGUGGGGAAGACGGUGGCAACUGUAACGGAGGCGACUGUCUCAGACAAGAUGGGAGAGAUAGUGGGGCCCGUCACGAAGGCGACCAUCCCAGGUACCCCACGGAAGACUGUGGCGCCCACCACAGAGGCAACCGUCAUGGAGGCGGCAGGGGAGACAAUGGCACCCAUCAUGGAGACGACCAUCCCAGACACGUCAGGGAAGAUGGUGACGCCUGUCACAGAAGCAACCAUCACAGUGGUGACGGGAGAGACAGUGGCGCCCAUCACAGAGACGACCAUCCCAGACACGUCAGGGAAGAUGGUGAUGCCUGUCACGGGGGCAACCAUCACGGAGGCGGCAGGAGAGACGGUGGCGACCAUCCUAGACAAGCUAGGGAAGACAGUGGCGCCAGUCACAAAGGCGACUGUCUCAGGCAUGCCAGGGAAGAUGGUGGCACCUGUCACAGAAACAACCGUCAUACAGGUGACGGGAGAGACAGUGGCGCCCGUCACAGAGACGACCAUCCCAGACACGUCAGGGAAGAUGGUGACGCCUGUCACGGAGGCAACCAUCACGGCGGCGGCAGGAGAGACGGUGGCAACCAUCCUAGACAAGCUAGGGAAGACAGUGGCGCCAGUCACAAAGGCAACCAUCCCAGUCAUGACAACGACCAUAGUGCUUGGACAUAAAGAAAUCUCAACUUCAGGGCUGCCAUCAGUAAAAAGCUUCUCAAGUUCUACAAUGAAAAUAAGUAGAGAAUCAACUCUGUUUUUCAAGUCUACUGCUAAACAACUAACUUUGGAGGACAAUAUGUUAGUCAAAUCAAACUCGAACAACCCGACUUCUGGGCCAGUCAUGACAGAAAAUGAAGAGAUAAUCAUGAAUGUGACCACCCCAGAUGAGGCAGGGGAGAAGAAGGCACCCGUCACGGAGGAGGCUUCCCCAGAGAAAGAACGGCAAUCAUCUAGACUAGUGUUAGGACUCGGCAUUUUCUUUGGGAUGCUCCUUAUUACUGCCAUCAUUAUUUGUUACUGUCUAUGGCAAAAGUCAAGAAAAAGCUCAUUUGACGUGAACUCAGUGGAAACAACUAUUCCCUUAAAUUCCACUGAAACAAAAGAACCAAGCUCAGGUAGAGUGUCCUUGGUUUCAUUCUGUUCUUUUGCAUGGCCACUAAAAUGGAGGAUGUAGUAGGAGAGUACUCUUCGUGAUUGAGCAUAUAUAAUCUACUUGCGGCUUUACUCUCACUCUGUGAACCUACACACUAGAGCUGUGUGCUUCACCGGAAUCCAUGACAACAUUUUCUUCAGUUUCAACCCCAGUAUAGUUUCACACAUCAAAAAUAUCAUUUUGAAAAAGCCUCUCAAUCUCCAAACAAGACUCAAUCAAAGCCAUUUGCUACAGCAUUAGAACCAUGCAAUACCAUGACCUGUGGGACUCAACUUCACUUCUGAACCAUGGUUUAUGGUUCUUAUUUUUUAUUAGACUAUAUUAUACACUACAGUGGGGUGUGUUAUCCAUCUUUUUCUUAAUUCAUUUGAAUUUUUACUAUUUUCUGUUUUUCUUUGUAUCAUUUUCAGAUGGGAAGAAGAAAUGAAAGCACUCACACUUAAUAGCCAUUCAUGAAGAUCUCACAAAAAGAACUAAUAUGGCUGAAUCAUCAGAGAAAUUAAAAUGGAUUGAAAUUCAAAGAGAUCCACUUAAUCACAGAAAAGGGCAAUCUCAGUAGUGUAAACUUCUUUUUAAAUGGCACAUUUUGGAGUGUUCCUGAAUCUAAUCAUAGUAAUAAGCAGAUAUUCAUUGGUGCUGGCUGCUACAAAUCUUUAUUCAUUGCCUGUUCCUUUUUGGUUGUGGAAAAAAGCUCACCUUACUUUAAUAUAGUUAUCUAAGAGCCAGAUUCUGCCAUUUAGGCACAAAUCUGCACCAGCAUAUGAGGAACAGGGGGAGGCAUAAUCCCUCUCCCAGCUCUCCAGCAUGCAGAAGAAGCAUGCCAUGGCCCUUUCUCUUCCUGCCCCUGCCUGCUUCCUUUAGAGGAAUUGUGGCCAUUAGGGUGCACAGAAGGAAUGAGUCAUGGAGCGGGGCAGUCUUUGUGCUUCCCUGAGUAUAGGGACUGGGGUCUUUCUGGGCCCUUAUGUGAAGCCCCUAAGGAGUGAGGGGAAAACUCCUUAUGCCUCCUGCUCCCACUGAUUCAUCCGUCCAAAAGCCUGUGACAAUCUAGCCCCUAAUUCUUUGUACAUAGCUUGUUUUAUAAUAAAUGACCUAAGUAAAAGUGAGUCUCA
ensembl:lncRNA